UACGUAGGGGGCAAGCGUUGUCCGGAUUUAUUGGGCGUAAAGAGCUCGUAGGCGGCUUGUCGCGUCGGAUGUGAAAGCCCGGGGCUUAACCCCGGGUCUGCAUUCGAUACGGGCAGGCUAGAGUUCGGUAGGGGAGAUCGGAAUUCCUGGUGUAGCGGUGGAAAUGACGCAGAUAUCAGGAGGAACACCGGCGGCGAAGGCGGAUCUCUGGGCCGAUACUGACGCUGAGGAGCGAAAGCGUGGGGAGCGAACAGG
rnacentral:rRNA from 1 species